rnacentral:rRNA from 1 species
GAUGAACGCUAGCUACAGGCUUAACACAUGCAAGUCGCGGGGCAGCAUGGGGGUUGCUUGCAAUCCCCGAUGGCGACCGGCGCACGGGUGAGUAACGCGUAUCCAACCUGCCCUUCACCACGGGAUAACCCGGCGAAAGUCGGACUAAUACCGUAUGUUGUCCAUUGACGGCAUCCGAUUUGGACGAAAGGUUUGGCGGUGAAGGAUGGGGAUGCGUCCGAUUAGCUGGACGGCGGGGUGACGGCCCACCGUGGCGACGAUCGGUAGGGGUUCUGAGAGGAAGGUCCCCCACACUGGAACUGAGACACGGUCCAGACUCCUACGGGAGGCAGCAGUGAGGAAUAUUGGUCAAUGGGCGUAAGCCUGAACCAGCCAAGUAGCGUGCAGGAGGACGGCCCUAUGGGCUGUAAACUGCUUUUAUGCGGGGAUAAAGUGGCCCACGUGUGGGUUUUUGCAGGUACCGCAUGAAUAAGGACCGGCUAAUUCCGUG